UGAAAAAUAUUCCAUAGAACCUUCUUGGGAGUGUAAAUUUGACCAUAUCGAAGUACGAGAUGGACCUUUUGGCUUUUCCCCAAUCAUUGGACGUUUCUGUGGACAGCAAAAUCCACCUAUGAUAAAAUCCAGUGGCAGAUUCCUAUGGAUUAAAUUUUUUGCUGAUGGUGAGCUGGAAUCCAUCGGGUUUUCUGCUCGGUAUAAUUUUACACCUGAUCCAGAUUUUAAGGACCUUGGUGUUUUGAAACCAUUGCCAGUUUGUGAGUUUGAGAUGGGAGGACCUGAAGGAAUUGUGGAAUCUGUACAAAUUGUCAAAGAAGGAAAAGCUUCUGAAGCUGAAGCAGUAGACUGUAAAUGGUACAUCCGAGCACCACCCAAAUCCAAGAUCUAUUUGCGAUUCUUGGACUAUGAGAUGCAGAAUUCCAAUGAAUGCAAAAGGAAUUUUGUAGCUGUCUAUGAUGGAAGCAGCUCCGUGGAGGAUUUGAAAGCAAAAUUUUGCAGCACUGUUGCUAAUGAUGUAAUGCUGCGGACAGGUCUUGGUGUAAUCCGCAUGUGGGCAGAUGAAGGCAGUAGAAGCAGCCGAUUCCAGAUGCUCUUCACAUCUUUCCAAGAACCCCCUUGUGAAGCCAACACAUUCUUUUGCCACAGUAAUAUGUGUAUUAAUAAUACAUUGGUCUGCAAUGGACUCCAGAACUGUGUGUAUCCUUGGGAUGAAAACCAUUGCAAAGAAAAAAGAAAAGCUAACCUAUUGGACCAACUUACCAAUACCAGUGGGACUAUAAUUGGGGUGACUUCUUGCAUUGUGAUCAUCCUCAUUGUUAUCUCUGUUAUAGUACAGAUCAAGCAGCCUCGUAAAAAAUUUGUCCAAAGGAAAACAGACUUUGAUCAAACAGUGUUCCAGGAGGUGUUUGAGCCUCCUCAUUAUGAGUUAUGCACCCUCAGAGGGACAGGGCCUACAGCUGACCUUGCUGAUAUUGCAGAUGACUUUGAAAAUUAUCAUAAACUGCGGAGAUCAUCUUCAAAAUGCAUUCAUGACCAUCACUGUGGAUCACAAGUGUCUAGCAUUAAGGGCAGCCGUAGUAACCUCAGCACAAGAGAUGCUUCUGUCUUGACAGAAAUACAACCCCAGCCUGUAAAACCACUCAUUCAGCCCAUGAACAGGAGAAAUAUCCUUGUCAUGAAGCAUAGCUACUCACAAGAUGCUGCAGAUGCGUGUGAGAUAGACGAAAUCGAAGAGGUACCAACCACAAGUCACAGGCUGUCCAGACAUGAUAAAGCUGUUCAGCGGUUCUGCCUCAUUGGGUCUCUAAGCAAACAUGAGUCUGAGUACAACACAACUAGGGUCUAAGAGACAAACUUGAGGAAAGGAGUCAUGCUGAUCUACAAUCUCCCAACAAGGUCACUAUGGGAAAAAGGGAAGCUACCAACCCCUUCAAGCAACAAAUCAUAACUAGGAGUAGAGACACAAUCUAAGCAGCCCAUGAUGAAAAACGGAAAGAACAAGAUUGCUUAAAUUGUAUUACCAAAGUAACUGGCCUGACCAACACCAUGCAGCAGCAUUACAUCGCUUCAUGCCCAGAUAAGGGAAGACUGAAGUACAAUCCUUUAUCCCAGGGAUCAGGAUACCACAACUCUCUCCAAGCCUCUCAGGAAGUGUUAUCCACUUUGGAGCUGACUUUUGUCACUGAUGCAUACCAGCUGGGUCAGAAGAAAGAAGAAAAUCUUUGCAUCUGAAGACUGCUAUUUUCCCAGUGUGAAGAACAAUCUGAGCACUGUAGCCACAUGGAUCCUUCUACUGUUAGGGGACAAAUAAAACCAAAAGUUCCAACUAGCUAGGUUUAUGCCAUAGUUGUAUUUUUGCCAUGUGGAAAGAGUCCUUAUUAUCCUCAGUUUCAAAGUACAUACAAGAGAAAGUGGAAAGCAGAGGAGGCUGCUAAGAAAAAAAAACAACAUCCAAACCCCCCAACAGUGGUAAGUAAAUAAAUCACUUUUACACUUAUGCAUAAAAGUAAUGUAUACCAUGCAUACCAUGGAGUGGAGUCACUUCUGUUCCUUUUGGACAAUCUGUAAAUCCUCCAGUGAUUUUAAGGGGUUUGUUUUUAACCAUGGAUCAGGCAUUGACAGAUAACAUUUUAGUUAUAUUUGCUUCCUCUAGUUCUAAGAAUUUUGAACUCUACAUUCCUAAAUACUUUUGAAAGCUGUUAGCUAGACAGAUCCAACACAUUGCUCUGUGUAUUUUAUAGAUCACUUUGAAACAGGAAUUACACUAUGGAAUGCCUGUUGCUAGCAGAACAUUGCGGAACUAUGGCACCUAGCCAGUAUUGUAAUCAUAGUGCAUUGUUUGGAAAAUGGGGAAAAAUGCAAUGAUGUAAUAUAAGGUCACAUUCGAGGAUCCAAUCUACAGAACCUUGGAAAAGCACGUUUUAGUGAAAAGGCAGUACAGAGUUAUUUCUGAGGAGCUUGAAUUUCUCCUUUUUCAUAUGCUAAUGUCUAAAAUGAUAAAAAGCAUUGUGAAGGAGAAAGGGAGAACAAAAGCAUAAUCCAGAUUUUUUUCUUUCAUUAGAAUAGUAAUGCUUAUCUCUACAUCUACUGCUUGGGUGAUGUAUUGUUUGGGAAGAAUUCUGUGAUGAUACAGGCUUUCAAUCAUAACAUGCAAUGCUGAUGCUUAUGCAAGCCUCCCCAAAGCUUGUUAUUGAAGUUUCAUAAAAUUCAUAAAUCCAAUAAACAUGAUAUGAGAAUAUUACAGCAUUUUGCCUUUGCUGUUUUCAACAGGAAACAUACUCCAGAUUAAAAAUUUUCAGGAAGCUCAAGUUUGAACAAAAGUAAUUAAUCUCUUCCCCCAUUUAUGCAUAUAGUGACUGUCACUAAUGCAGUCUAAUUUGUAAAAAGGUGGUGGAUACACUGACGUGUGCAAUCAGUUUCCUAAUACAGCAUGAUUUUCAUCACUUAGCCUGCAUAUCUCCCAGGUACGUGGAUACUCCAUGAUGAACACAAGAGCUUAUAUGUC